rnacentral:rRNA from 1 species
UACAGAGGGGGCAAGCGUUGUUCGGAAUUACUGGGCGUAAAGGGCGCGUAGGCGGCCUUCUAAGUCGAACGUGAAAUCCCCGGGCUCAACCCGGGAACUGCGUCCGAUACUGGAUGGCUUGAAUCCGGGAGAGGGAUGCAGAAUUCCAGGUGUAGCGGUGAAAUGCGUAGAUAUCUGGAGGAAUACCGGUGGCGAAGGCGGCAUCCUGGACCGGCAUUGACGCUGAGGAGCGAAAGCCAGGGGAGCAAACAGG